GUUCAAGAGUACGUGAAACCGUUCAGGGGUAAACCUGAGAAACCCGAAAGGUCGAAUGGGGAAAUUCAUUCGCGUUUCGAUUGUCGGCGUUGAGCGGUUGUGUGACUGACGGGGUACGCUUCGUUAGCACCUUCAGUUCUUCGAACCGACUUCGAACGCGUGCACUUUUCCCCUAGUAGGACGUCGCGAUCCGUUGGGUGUCGGUCUAAGGCCUGCGGUGGAGCUCGCGUGGACUCGGCGUUCCGCACGAACCCGCAGUGUCCCGAUCGACUCGCUCGACGGUAUAAAGAUGGCGCGGGGCCGCUACACAGUUAGCGUUCGGCCUACGGCAAGCACGUACGGUGUUUGAUGGCGAUCAGACCUAGUCGGAUCCCGUCCCCGGACGACUGUUGGCACGUAGUGUUCUCGAACAGACCUCGUUGAAACGCCGAUCUGCGACGCUAUUGCUUUGGGUACUUUCAGGCCCCUUGAAACA
rnacentral:rRNA from 1 species